GGGUUGUGAGGUUAAGCGACUAAGCGUACACGGUGGAUGCCCUGGCAGUCAGAGGCGAUGAAGGGCGUGCUAAUCUGCGAUAAGCGCCGGUAAGGUGAUAUGAACCGUUAUAACCGGCGAUACCCGAAUGGGGAAACCCAGUGUGAUUCGUCACACUAUCAUUAACUGAAUCCAUAGGUUAAUGAGGCGAACCGGGGGAACUGAAACAUCUAAGUACCCCGAGGAAAAGAAAUCAACCGAGAUUCCCCCAGUAGCGGCGAGCGAACGGGGAGGAGCCCAGAGCCUGAAUCAGCAUGUGUGUUAGUGGAAGCGUCUGGAAAGGCGCGCGAUACAGGGUGACAGCCCCGUACACAAAAGCGCAUGUGCUGUGAGCUCGAUGAGUAGGGCGGGACACGUGGUAUCCUGUCUGAAUAUGGGGGGACCAUCCUCCAAGGCUAAAUACUCCUGACUGACCGAUAGUGAACCAGUACCGUGAGGGAAAGGCGAAAAGAACCCCGGCGAGGGGAGUGAAAAAGAACCUGAAACCGUGUACGUACAAGCAGUGGGAGCACAGGUUUACCUGUGUGACUGCGUACCUUUUGUAUAAUGGGUCAGCGACUUAUAUUCUGUAGCAAGGUUAACCGAAUAGGGGAGCCGUAGGGAAACCGAGUCUUAAUUGGGCGUUAAGUUGCAGGGUAUAGACCCGAAACCCGGUGAUCUAGCCAUGGGCAGGUUGAAGGUUGGGUAACACUAACUGGAGGACCGAACCGACUAAUGUUGAAAAAUUAGCGGAUGACCUGUGGCUGGGGGUGAAAGGCCAAUCAAACCGGGAGAUAGCUGGUUCUCCCCGAAAGCUAUUUAGGUAGCGCCUCGUGAAUUCAUCUCCGGGGGUAGAGCACUGUUUCGGCUAGGGGGCCAUCCCGGCUUACCAACCCGAUGCAAACUGCGAAUACCGGAGAAUGUUAUCACGGGAGACACACGGCGGGUGCUAACGUCCGUCGUGAAGAGGGAAACAACCCAGACCGCCAGCUAAGGUCCCAAAGUCAUGGUUAAGUGGGAAACGAUGUGGGAAGGCCCAGACAGCCAGGAUGUUGGCUUAGAAGCAGCCAUCAUUUAAAGAAAGCGUAAUAGCUCACUGGUCGAGUCGGCCUGCGCGGAAGAUGUAACGGGGCUAAACCAUGCACCGAAGCUGCGGCAGCGNNGUUGGGUAGGGGAGCGUUCUGUAAGCCUGUGAAGGUGGCCUGUGAGGGUUGCUGGAGGUAUCAGAAGUGCGAAUGCUGACAUAAGUAACGAUAAAGCGGGUGAAAAGCCCGCUCGCCGGAAGACCAAGGGUUCCUGUCCAACGUUAAUCGGGGCAGGGUGAGUCGACCCCUAAGGCGAGGCCGAAAGGCGUAGUCGAUGGGAAACGGGUUAAUAUUCCCGUACUUGGUGUUACUGCGAAGGGGGGACGGAGAAGGCUAUGUUGGCCGGGCGACGGUUGUCCCGGUUUAAGCGUGUAGGUGUGUGUUCCAGGUAAAUCCGGUUCACUUUAACACUGAGGCGUGAUGACGAGGCACUACGGUGCUGAAGCAACAAAUGCCCUGCUUCCAGGAAAAGCCUCUAAGCAUCAGGUAACAUCAAAUCGUACCCCAAACCGACACAGGUGGUCAGGUAGAGAAUACCAAGGCGCUUGAGAGAACUCGGGUGAAGGAACUAGGCAAAAUGGUGCCGUAACUUCGGGAGAAGGCACGCUGACACGUAGGUGAAGUGAUUUACUCACGGAGCUGAAGUCAGUCGAAGAUACCAGCUGGCUGCAACUGUUUAUUAAAAACACAGCACUGUGCAAACACGAAAGUGGACGUAUACGGUGUGACGCCUGCCCGGUGCCGGAAGGUUAAUUGAUGGGGUCAGCGCAAGCGAAGCUCCUGAUCGAAGCCCCGGUAAACGGCGGCCGUAACUAUAACGGUCCUAAGGUAGCGAAAUUCCUUGUCGGGUAAGUUCCGACCUGCACGAAUGGCGUAAUGAUGGCCAGGCUGUCUCCACCCGAGACUCAGUGAAAUUGAACUCGCUGUGAAGAUGCAGUGUACCCGCGGCAAGACGGAAAGACCCCGUGAACCUUUACUAUAGCUUGACACUGAACAUUGAGCCUUGAUGUGUAGGAUAGGUGGGAGGCUUUGAAGUGUGGACGCCAGUCUGCAUGGAGCCGACCUUGAAAUACCACCCUUUAAUGUUUGAUGUUCUAACGUGGACCCGUAAUCCGGGUUGCGGACAGUGUCUGGUGGGUAGUUUGACUGGGGCGGUCUCCUCCUAAAGAGUAACGGAGGAGCACGAAGGUUGGCUAAUCCUGGUCGGACAUCAGGAGGUUAGUGCAAUGGCAUAAGCCAGCUUGACUGCGAGCGUGACGGCGCGAGCAGGUGCGAAAGCAGGUCAUAGUGAUCCGGUGGUUCUGAAUGGAAGGGCCAUCGCUCAACGGAUAAAAGGUACUCCGGGGAUAACAGGCUGAUACCGCCCAAGAGUUCAUAUCGACGGCGGUGUUUGGCACCUCGAUGUCGGCUCAUCACAUCCUGGGGCUGAAGUAGGUCCCAAGGGUAUGGCUGUUCGCCAUUUAAAGUGGUACGCGAGCUGGGUUUAGAACGUCGUGAGACAGUUCGGUCCCUAUCUGCCGUGGGCGCUGGAGAACUGAGGGGGGCUGCUCCUAGUACGAGAGGACCGGAGUGGACGCAUCACUGGUGUUCGGGUUGUCAUGCCAAUGGCACUGCCCGGUAGCUAAAUGCGGAAGAGAUAAGUGCUGAAAGCAUCUAAGCACGAAACUUGCCCCGAGAUGAGUUCUCCCUGAGACUU
rnacentral:rRNA from 1 species